CACUGAAAGCAUAGAUUGAAAAUAAAACAUAAAGAACUUAGACACAAACAAAAACGGGAGAAGAAAAACACAAUAAUCUUAUACAAGUUUACAACAACUAUUGUUACAUCUAGUACUCCCUUUUUAGAGAUAUAUAUCUCAAGUACAAUUAGAGACAUAUAUAAUCCACCAAAGUAUUUUUAAAUCCACCUUUUUAGGCUUUGAUUAGGCUUAAAGCAUCUCGAAACUAAGUAUUGUUUCCUUGUUUCACCGAACAUUAAGUAUUAUUAUAAAGCCUCUUCAAUCCCUCUAUAUUAUGAUGCCUCAGAAGGCAUACAAAAGUUCAAUCUCUAGUGUUUCUCAAAACGGCUCGAUUCACGCACUUAUUGAGUUUAAUAUUCUUACUCUACCUCUCCAUUAUAAAUAUUAUUCAAGGGUUAUUAAGAACAAUAAUAAUUAAGGUCUCCAAAUUUUCUCAAGGAUCCUGAUAUCACUCGCCUCUUGAGUUGAGUUUGUAAAGUGCCUCUUCAGACUAGUAUUCUUCUAAUCAACUCUUUAGACAAUCAAGAAGUAUUAUCACCUUAAAUUAAGCAUUUUUCUAACCGCCUCUCCAACAUACCAACUAGAAACCUUCUACUCUUCUUAAUAGAUUUAUUUUUAUUAAUUUCCUAUGAAAAACUGGCGAAGUAUGGAAUUAAAAAAAUUUAUGUAGUUAAAAUAUUUUGGCAACUUGCACCACUGUUAAAUUUAAAAACAACUCAGAAUUUGACGAAAUUUUUUAUGAGUUAUUAGGUUGGUUGGGAUUUGUUUUUUAUGUCUGAGAGAUAUUUUUGUGAGUGAAGAAUAUGAACUUUGAAUAUUUUAAUAAUCAAAUAAUUUUUGUUGUAAAAAUAAUUAUUUGACAUUAGUCGUUUGUAACUCAUUUUCAGUAAUUGAACAUACUAUUAGUUGAAGGGAUUGACACAUUUUUUUAGUUGAGAAGUGAAUGAUUUGAUGAUGAUUAAGUGUGUACAUGAUAAUAGUGAGGGUUUUGGAUAAAAUUUGAGUGAGUAUGAUUAAUUUAGAUUUAAGAGAUUAAGUUAAUUAAGGAAGGAGAAGAAAAAUAUCUACCUCUUCCAUUGUAUACCCACCAGCAAAGACACAUACACACACCACUCUAACUUUUUUUCUUUUCUCCUUCAUAUCUCUAAACACAAACCCUCAAUAAGAAGAAGAAUCUCCCUUUUAAAACUAGAUCAAAUAUCACAAUCAAGAAGUUGUAGGAAGAAAAGUUCUUCUUUCCAACUCGGUUGUUCUUAUGAGCUAACAAACUUGAGAUUUGUCUUGUGAGAUCCUGUCGGCUACUCUGAGAGUUGUUGCAGAGCAAACUUAGAAGAUUCUCCAUAGCAGUGAGUUGACGUAUGAGUUAAAGUAUUUAAAUAUUGAAUUGUUAUGGGAUUGAAUAUGUUUUCUAUGAAUUACGAUGAAAUAAUUUUAAAUAUGUGUUUUGAGAAAUUGUUGUUAUAAUUAUUAAAUCGUUAACUACGUUAGGUGCAUUUAGUUAUCUCGUUUUGGUUAGGGAGAGUUACCCGUUAGAUGGAACCACCCCUAUGAGAAAUGUCAUCUGUAGGAGGAGAGGGCUAUCAACGCGAUGAAGCUGCCUCUUGAUUCUCAAAAAAAAAAUUUGUACUUGUUGAUUUUUUUAAUGAUAAUUUUAAGGUUGUUCAUUUGGAUUUCAA